AACAAAUCAACUGGAGCAAAGGCAGAUUUCGUUUUUCUCAUUCAAUGGAAGGAAAUGUGACUGUUUCAAAUUUAACCUCUGACAGACUGACAAUAGAUCUAUCCUCAAAGCUGAUUAUUUCUAAUGCUCAGGAAGAUGAUGAAGGACUAUAUACAUGUCAUUUAACUGAAUCUUCAGGGUCAACGACUUAUCGGUGGAAUUUAACCGUGUCUGACAAACCUGAAGAGGAGAAGCCAUCAGGGUAUUUCCUAUACAUACUCACAGCUGGGAUCGGAGUGGUACUGUGUUGCAUCAUUUCAGCCACAUGCCUCUGUAGGAAAUGUAAGGCCAAGACAGCAGACCAGAACCCAGUCCAGGAC